GAUGAACGCUAGCUACAGGCUUAACACAUGCAAGUCGCGGGGUAACAUCUGGUAGAGCUUGCUCUUCCAGGAUGACGACCGGCGCACGGGUGAGUAACGCGUAUCCAACCUGGCCCAUACCACGGGAUAGCCCGUCGAAAGGCGGAUUAAUACCGUAUGCUGUCAUUAAGAUGCAUAUAUUGAUGACGAAAGGACUGGCGGUAUGGGAUGGGGAUGCGUCUGAUUAGCUUGUUGGCGGGGUAACGGCCCACCAAGGCGACGAUCAGUAGGGGUUCUGAGAGGAAGGUCCCCCACAUUGGAACUGAGACACGGUCCAAACUCCUACGGGAGGCAGCAGUGAGGAAUAUUGGUCAAUGGGCGCAAGCCUGAACCAGCCAAGUAGCGUGAGGGAAGACUGCCCUACGGGUUGUAAACUGCUUUUAUAAGGGAAUAAAGUGAGAGUCGUGACUCUUUUUGCAUGUACCUUAUGAAUAAGGACCGGCUAAUUCCGUGCCAGCAGCCG
rnacentral:rRNA from 1 species